AGAUAUUAAUGACUGUUUGCCAAAUCCUUGUUAUAAUGGUGCCAAUUGUACAGAUCGGAUAGGAUUUUAUACAUGUUCCUGUCGACCUGGUUAUACUGGAAAACAUUGUGAAACAGAUAUAGAUGAAUGUGCAAGUAACCCUUGUCAGCAUAACGGAAAAUGUGUCAAUUCACUGGGAAAAUACGAGUGCUUCUGUAAAAAUGGCUAUACAGGGAAUCAGUGUCAGACCGUCCCUAAAGUACUGAUUAAGCCUACAAUUAUACUAAAGACAGCUAUCUCAGUUUUGGAAGGAUUUAGUUUACUGUCAGUUCCAUGUUAUGCCGAGGGCAUUCCAACACCGACGAUAACUUGGGGAUCU